rnacentral:rRNA from 2 species
UGGGGAAUUUUGCACAAUGGGGGAAACCCUGAUGCAGCGACGCCGCGUGAUUUAGAAGGCCUUCGGGUUGUAAAAACCUUUUCUAUGGGAAGAAAAUGACAGUACCAUAGGAAUAAGGACCGGCUAAUUACGUGCCAGCAGCCGCGGUAAUACGUAAGGUCCGAGCGUUGUCCGGAAUCAUUGGGCGUAAAGGGUACGUAGGCGGGUAAGCAAGUUAGAAGUGAAAUCCUAUAGCUCAACUAUAGUAAGCUUUUAAAACUGCUCAUCUUGAGGUAUGGAAGGGAAAGUGGAAUUCCUAGUGUAGCGGUGAAAUGCGCAGAUAUUAGGAGGAAUACCGGUGGCGAAGGCGACUUUCUGGCCAUAACCUGACGCUGAGGUACGAAAGCGUGGGUAGCAAACAGG